rnacentral:rRNA from 1 species
UACGGGGGGGGCUAGCGUUGUCCGGAAUCAUUGGGCGUAAAGAGCGUGUAGGCGGCCCGGUAAGUCCGCUGUAAAAGUCAAAGGCUCAACCUUUGAAUGUCAGUGGAUACUGCCGGGCUAGAGUCCGGAAGAGGCGAGUGGAACUCCUGGUGUAGCGGUGGAAUGCGCAGAUAUCAGGAAGAACACCAACGGCGAAGGCAGCUCGCUGGGACGGUACUGACGCUGAGACGCGAAAGCGUGGGGAGCGAACAGG